UACGUAGGGGGGCAAGCGUUGUCCGGAUUUAUUGGGCGUAAAGAGCGUGUAGGCGCCAGACAGGUCCGUUGUGAAAACUGGAGGCUCAACCUCCAGACGUCGAUGGAAACCGUCUGGCUAGAGUCCGGAAGAGGAGAGUGGAAUUCCUGGUGUAGCGGUGAAAUGCGCAGAUAUCAGGAAGAACACCCGUGGCGAAAGCGGCUCUCUGGGACGGUACUGACGCUGAGACGCGAAAAGCGUGGGGAGCGAACAGG
rnacentral:rRNA from 1 species